rnacentral:rRNA from 1 species
AACGAACGCUGGCGGCAGGCUUAACACAUGCAAGUCGAACGCCCCGCAAGGGGAGUGGCAGACGGGUGAGUAACACGUGGGAAUCUACCUAUCUCUACGGAACAACACAUAGAAAUGUGUGCUAAUACCGUAUACGCCCUUAGGGGGAAAGAUUUAUCGGAGAUAGAUGAGCCCGCGUUUGAUUAGCUAGUUGGUGAGGUAAUGGCUCACCAAGGCGACGAUCAAUAGCUGGUCUGAGAGGAUGAUCAGCCACACUGGGACUGAGACACGGCCCAGACUCCUACGGGAGGCAGCAGUGGGGAAUAUUGGACAAUGGGCGCAAGCCUGAUCCAGCCAUGCCGCGUGUGUGAUGAAGGCCCUAGGGUUGUAAAGCACUUUCAACGGUGAAGAUAAUGACGGUAACCGUAG